rnacentral:tRNA from 1 species
GGUUUUGUGGUGUAGUUGGUUAUCACGUUCGCCUCACAUUUCCGUGUCCGCGAAAGGUCCCGAGUUCGAACCUCGGCGAAAUCA